GUUCUAAGGAUGUUGUUCUACAUAUUCGACCUAUCCGACCGUCGGGUACCAUUGCUAGAUGAUCACUUCGAUUGGUAUAAAAAUUUAUUUUUGUGCUACCAACUUAGGUUUGGACCUAUGAGGUCACACACAUUAGAGUUCACGAUCCGAUCGGAUGGUUGAUCAAUGAUUAAGAAUCAUUCUAGGGUUAAACGAUCAAUACGAUUGAUAUUUAACCUAGUGCAAGUGUUGUAGGAGGAUCGAUUAGCAAUUCGAU
rnacentral:lncRNA from 1 species